GCGAGUGAGCCUGGAAGGUGAUCCUCCCCCAGUCGAACCUUGAGGUAACUGCGGCCCUGGCUGAUACCUGGAUUGCAGCCCGUGAGACCUUGAGUCAGAGGACCACUAAACCAUGCCUGGAUUCCUGACCCGCAGGAAUGGUCCUCCAUAUCUGUGAAUCAGCAACGUGGGAAAUGGGGGCUUCAGAAAAAUUAAGGGAGGCUUGAAGUGAGCAAAGCCGAGCAGAGUGUGGGCAGCAGCCGAGGGCUGCCACAGUGGGAAAAUCAGGCAGUGCGUCAUGUGAGGGAGCUCCUGGCGGUGUCUGCCUCUUUCAGCAGCAUCCACAUAGGCUGGGACAGUCAGAUCACUGUGCCUUGGGCAGGGAUGAAAACACCCAGCACUGCCAGAGUACUCCAGAGGGGUGUGGUAUCAGGAUGGCCUGUGCCAGCCUCAUUUAUUUGCCUCAGUCAUUUGAACAAAGCAGUUGCUGGACUAACUGUGCUGUGGCAAAAACCCACGACAAAUCCAAAUGUCUCUUUCCUACUGCCUUUGCUCCCACAGCACAGCGCUGAUACCUUCUUAGUGGAAUGGACCUCAUCCCACGGCAAUUGAUGGAUGAGCUGUCCCUUCCCUGGGCUGGGGGUUCCUCCAGGCAGGAAUCUUGGCUUGGUUUCUUCCAUGUCUCCAGAGCCCGGCACAGGGCCGGGAGUCUAGUAAGUUUCUGAUGAAUAAAUGAAUGGCUGUGUGGACAUAUGGGACGCACAUGAGGCUCCUGUAGUGGGAACAUGUUUCAUAGUACAGUAAUCUGUUGGUUCCCUACAGCGUGUAGGACCCAAAGAAUGAACAAUUUGUCCUUUCUAGGAAAGGCAUGUUUCCUGUGGGGACUGCAUUAGGGAAGGUGACUGCAAGUUGAGGAUCAGGGCGAGCAGAGGUAGACAAAGGCCCCUGGAAAAUGACACAGAAAUGGAGGAGGUGUUCAUCCCAGGGAGACUCCAGGGCAUCCAGGUGGAGCUCUGAUUCUCCAAGAAAUCCACAGACAGUGCCUGGGAACAGGGCUGGGGGAGGCGGGUUCUCAGGGAGCCAUAUUUCAGUCUCCACAAAGACCCCCAGGUGGACUCCCACGCUUUCCCUCGUCUGUCCACUAGGGGGCAGGCAGAGGCAGGAGAAGAGGUGAGAUGGUGGCCAGUCGGCUCCCAGGCUGGGCUCAUCAGGCCGCAGUACUCCCAGGCUCACGUCCAACACACUGGGCUGUUUGUAUUACUCAGACAACAAGGCCAGGCCUCUCUUCCUGCCUGUCGUGGCCUCUGUGAUUUUAUAUGAUGUGGCUUGUGACAUCAGAUACCACGCGACCAUGGUAACCAAAAUAUACAGCUUGGUGUGAAUAUUAAUAAACAGGAGAAAAAGUGA